AGAACGAACGCUGGCGGCAUGCCUAAUACAUGCAAGUCGAGCGAACUCUUCGGAGUUAGUGGCGCACGGGUGCGUAACGCGUGGGAAUCUGCCCCUUGGUUCGGAAUAACAGUUGGAAACGACUGCUAAUACCGGAUGAUGACGAAAGUCCAAAGAUUUAUCGCCAAGGGAUGAGCCCGCGUAGGAUUAGCUAGUUGGUGAGGUAAAGGCUCACCAAGGCAACGAUCCUUAGCUGGUCUGAGAGGAUGAUCAGCCACACGUGGACUGAGACACGG
rnacentral:rRNA from 1 species